GCAAGAACUUGUGGACCUUAUAAGUCUUUGGAUACUACUAAUGAUGGAUGUGAAGGAGGCUUGAUGGAUUAUGCUUUUGAAUGGGUUAUAAACAAUGGUGGGGUUAGUGCCGAAGCUAAUUGCCCAUAGCCCCAUACAGUGCUACAGAUGGUACCUGCUGCAAUUUCACCAAGAAAUGGUGUGGACUGCAUUCUGCACAUACUUUUCUCUUCAUCUUUGGUAAGUUUUCGUUGCAUAUACUUCUUUAUUAGCCUUUCAAUUCAUAGUAAGAAUGAGUGAUUUUCUAACUUAGUCCAUUUAAGCAUUAAAGGAUGAUUUGUAAAGCAGUAUAUUAAUUAGAUCUCAAGCAAUUAUACAAUUUCAAACAAUAAUGUUUUUUUUUUCUUUUAUAAUACACACAAAGAAUACAUACAAAAGAAUAUUGUACAAUUUUUUCAAAUAACUACAACAUAUUAAUUUCAAAUAAGUAAAUGUAAUUUACAUAGUAAAAUGGUAGAACUUUUUUUGCUGCAAUAGUUAUAUGGCAGAGAUCAAAGACCAGAGGUAAAUGGCACAGUUGUUUCACGUAACCACAUGGAGCCGGUAAGAAGUCCAUUAACGGUGAACCGUGAUGCUUCAGCGGGGCUUGUUAUCACAUGAAACCCAGGCCACUGUACUCUAUUUAUCACAGAUGAACCAGGCCCAGAGUUCCCAUACUCUCCAUAAUACAAAGUGUCAAGAGCAAAAUCAGUACCAUCCCACGAAGACCAUCCUAACGGGCUAACCAAGGUGUCCAUGAAAGUUUUCAAGACCACCACUCUUGAGUAUUGUUGCCAGGGCCUGCCCAAGAAGGUGUUGUGCUUCUCAACAACAGGCUUGAGGUCCGGAGCCGCCCUGAUUUCAGAAUUGUGGAUAGUGAUUCCAGUGUUCUGGAAUGGGUCGUCUCGUCCUUGAGCUGUGAUCAUGUUUGCUUGGCCAUCUAAAGGCUUUCUUGCGAAAAUCUUGCAGUUCUGAAAUACCACUGCGGCGUUCCCAAAGAUGAAGUCUACGGUGCCAUAGAUUUGGCAUUGUCUAUAAAAUUGGCGUUGUGCAUGAACCAUGAGGGUGUCUUGAUAACCUAAUAUAGCACAUCGGUAGAAGACUGAGAGGUCUGAGGCUGACCGGAGCGCCACGGCUUGACCCUUUUGAGGACCCGCAGUGUUUUGGAAGCUGCAUUCAGAGCACCUUGGACAGUCCUGUAGUUUCCCGAACCAUCUUUUGCUACCACCAAAUUUGGCUUCACCGUAGAAGACUGCACAAGUUUCCUCUCAUGCCUAGAAAACCAGCUUGGAAACACAUCUUCCUCUGUUUCUGAGGUGUGAUAUUUUGAAGCAUUUUGUUUCAGGAAAUCAACAUUGAUAGCUAAGCUGUUCCUUAUCAUCUCAGUGACGUUACUGCUUCCUGUUGGCACCAUGAAAUCUUGAGCAUUGAGAUCCACUGCCCCUGUUCUACAUGUUCUGAUAUUUGUGAGAGCUGUUGUGAGCCAAGUUUGUGUAUCAACUGGUGAGAAACCCUUUUUCAGAUCAAGACUUUCAAUUGCACGAUUGAGAUGAAAGAUGGUAUUUUCAUACAGCUUCAAACAAUCACCAUGUACAGUCCUGUGUUUAUCUGUGACCAUGUUUUGUUGAGAAUCAUGUGCUUCCCUUUGCAUGUUAAGUGCUUGUUUUAAAGCCAACUGAACAAGCAUUCCUCGAAAUUCAGUUUUGUGUUUGAUUGUGGAAUGGGGGUUCAUAUGAGUAAUAUAGUGUUUGCAUGGUUCAGGGUGGGGGGUUAGGUUGCACCACCAACCUAUGUUGCUGGAGGAAGGUGAAGGUUCUCUUCUUGAUGAGGCUAUUGAGAAAAUUGAAGGUGGACUGCGGAGUUGACAAAAAAACGUGUUGGCUGAUUAAAUUGAAAUUGAUAAUCAAGAAUGACACAGAUACAAGCCAUGAAUGCAAUUGCAAGAAAGAAUUAAAGAGGAAUAAAAAUCUUAUCAGGUAGAAAAAAUAAUAUUACUCGUGGAUUGCUUGAAUUUGUAUUUGCUUAAUAGUUCAGAUAGUGGCUGCAAAAGUCUAAUAGUAAUUGCAAGAACAGGUGUGCUGUGGUCAUCACAGAGCAACAAUAUCUGAAUUGGUUCCUUAAUUAUGAAUGCACUUGUGACAGCUAAUUAACUAUAGAAACACAGAAUUGGACAAAGAUUUUGAGGAAAAUGGUUGAGUUUAGCUGAAGUUAAUUGUGUUGUUGUUUC